ACUACUUGGAAAGCUCAGUAUGUGCGUCCCCACAUACUAAAAUUCUUGCAGAAGAUAUAAAAUGCAAGUAGUAGGGUCAGAGAGAAGGGUGUAUGUGUAGCGAUACUAGGCAUGUUCUAAGAGCUCACACUCGGUGGAGUAUGUGUCCCGACACUUUGCUGUAAGGUCCUGCAGAGGGCUAAGUGCAGGAAGAUUGCCUUGAAUAUUUCUUUUGCUACCCUGAUACCCCAGUGGAUGGACUCUAGGGUGCAGUUUGCAUGGAGAAGCCCUGCAGACUGAGGAAUGGGGCUGUUGCCUCCUCUGUAGAGCUGUAGGAACAUAUCUUAUGUCUUUACCUUGCUUUAAUGACAUCUUUUACAUAAUAGCUUGUUUCCACCUUCUGCAUGCUGAUCUUAAUGUUUCCUGGCCCUGUAUCUCCCCAACCCUGUGGAAUGAUGGAAUCCACUCUCCAGGCAGCCUCAGGCAGCUGAACACAGCAGAGCAGGGAGGGGUCAAGGGAAGGCCAAGCAAGCAAGCAAGCAAUGUUCCGUUUUCAAGAGCUGGCAAGAGAGAAAUGUCCUUGAGCUGUUGGAGAGCUGCUGCUGCUGAUAACUGCUGCUGUGGUGACAUUUGUGCUUGGAGUCUCUCAGCACAGCACAGCACAGCCACACUAUCCAUCUGUCCAAGAUCUGGGGCCUCCUCACAGGUGGGCGAAGCUCGAGGCUUCUAUUCACCAUCCUCUUCUCUAGCAUGGCUCUGUGGAGACCCACCCUCUGGGAGUUCAUAUGGCAGACACCAGAGAUAAAGUCCUGAGACGUCAACUUCUUUUCCGCACGAAUUCCUGAUGAGGAAAGAGAACACAGGACGUGGAUGAUGCAAGUUGGAUCUGACCUGAAAGCUUUAUUUCCCUCAGUCUAGCUUCUGUGGUUCCAGAAAAUACUACAUAAGCUGCCAAGGGAGGAAGCAAUUAGACAAUCCUACCCAGCUGCAACAUCUAUGAAAUGCCCAUAUUUUUACAGCCACAUUCGAUUCCCAUGAUGAUGUAAUGAGAUUGAUAGGAGUAACCAACUCCCCUCCCUCCUAACCCGGUUGGCACGCCCACCCGCAAACGGGUAUGUGGAGCCCCUAGGAGAAGGACGUCCUUGGGCCUUGACCCAGCAGACCUUUCUUCCCCCUUGUGGGUUACGCUUCCUACACUCUGCCCUGCUCCACCCCACACACCCUAGCCCGGAAGCUUUGUGUCUAGUAGCUUGGCAAAUGCUUCCUUCCUGGACUCCAGGUUUGAGAAUUGCUUGGCUUCCGUGUUGCAAAGGCUUAACGGAGAGGUUACCCUUCCUGCCUGCCCCGGAGCUAGGAAGAUUCACUAAGCACUGCUAUUGUUGGGAAUGUUGAAUGUGCCACCCCCAAAAGCUUUACUGUUGCUGAUGGUAAAAGGAAUGCCCUGCUUUUGUGGAUUAUGAGGAAGACUCCAUUGGGCCACAUAACAGAAGAGAAUGGUGCCCCUUUCUCUCCAGAGUUCCUGCUUCUGCAACUGGGCUUACCCACGCUGCCUGUGGUGUCACAGGCUGAGAUCGAUCCACUCUUCCUGAGUCCUGAUCUUAUUUGGCGUUUCUUAUCACCUUGGAGAUUUUCCUUAAGGCUAUUCAGCCAAGUGCGUUUCUGUUUUGUGGGAGGUGCCAUGACUUGGGCAUCCACACUUUGAGCCUGGUCCUUGAGUCGCUGCUCAAUGCUGCUGCCUAAGCCAUAACUUCAUCCCGGUUUCUGUUAGCUUAGAUGGCAACCGCUAAACCAUGAGCUGUAAUACAAGCACUAACAAGUCUAUAAUUUACCCAAUUACCAAUGGCUCAAUUUUUGAAAAUAAGUUUUAGACAGAUGGUUCAUUAAAACAUAAUGGAAAACAUCAAAAGUGUUACAGACACAUAAUAAAAUCUAAGUAUGCAUAAUACUUUGAA